UUGUUACACGCCGCAAUAUUGUUUCCACUUAAUUGGACAGCCUUACUUCGUUCCUAUUCACAGGGAACCCCCAUUUUAUCACUAUUAUAAAUAUCCACUAACCUUAAAACAUCAUCCUUCUUUAGUAAUUUAAGGUAAGUAAUUGUACCAAUUUAUACAAAGAUAUUUGCCCAAGAUAUCCAUCACAUUGCACAUUUGCCCAAGAUAUCCACCAAGAAAUGCACAUGGUGUAGGUUUGCCAGCGACACAUUUUCAUCUAUUCAUUACAAUGCCCGAUGUCUCUUUACAACAACCAGGACGAGUAGAAAAGAACGCAUUGUGUUCCACAUCAUUUCACUAAAAUGACGAAUUUUAAAACAAAUUUAGCUUCAAAAUACCCUAAAUACUUUAUGCACUCAUCUCUCUAUUAAUUUGAACUAAACUUCACGAAACAUUAUUAAUUUAAGGUAUAAUUCAAUAUUUUAUCCCAGAA